AAUGAACGCUGGCGGCAGGCCUAAAACAUGCAAGUCGAACGCCCUAGCAAUAGGGAGUGGCGCACGGGUGAGUAACAUGUGGGAAUAUGCCUUUUGGUACGGAACAACGUUUGGAAACGAACGCUAAUACCGUAUGGUCCCUCCGGGGUAAAGAUUUAUCGCCAAAAGAUUAGCCCGCACUAGAUUAGCUAGUUGGUAAGGUAAUGGCUUACCAAGGCGACGAUCUAUAGCUGUUCUGAGAGGAAGAUCAGCCACACUGGGACUGAGACACGGCCCAGACCCCUACGGGAGGCAGCAGUUAGGAAUAUUGGACAAUGGGCGCAAGCUUGAUCCAGCCAUGCCGCGUGAGUGAUGAAGGCCUUCGGGUUGUAAAGCUCUUUAGCCGACGAAUAUAACGACUGUAGUCGGAGAAUAAGCCCCGGCUAACUUCGUGCCAGCCGCCGCGGUAAAAC
rnacentral:rRNA from 1 species